rnacentral:rRNA from 1 species
UUUCGAAUCAUUCACAAUGGGCGAAAGCCUGAUGGUGCGACGCCGCGUGAGGGAUGAAGGUCUUCGGAUUGUAAACCUCUGUCACUGGGGAAGAAACGCUUUGAGUUAACAGCUCCAAGCCUGACUUAACCCGGAGAGGAAGCAGUGGCUAACUCUGUGCCAGCAGCCGCGGUAAUACAGAGACUGCAAGCGUUAUUCGGAUUCACUGGGCGUAAAGGGUGCGCAGGCGGCCGUGUAUGUGAAGUGUGAAAGCCCGGGGCUUAACCCCGGAAUUGCACCUCAAACUAUACGGCUAGAGCAUUGGAGAGGGUAGCAGAAUUCACGGUGUAGCAGUGAAAUGCGUAGAUAUCGUGAGGAAUACCAGAGGCGAAGGCGGCUACCUGGACAAUUGCUGACGCUCAGGCACGAAAGCGUGGGUAGCAAAAG